CAUUGUACAUAAAACAAGUACGGUACCUUAAAGUUAUUUAGGUAUUCAAGAUUUUUUUAUUUAAGUAAAAUUGUUGUUACACUAAUUAGUAUAUUAAGCAUAUGCAUUUUUUUGCAUUUUUCGGUAUUGGAAAAAGUAUAGGGCAUUUUCUCUGAGACUAUGGGGUAUGGAGGAGGGUAGUCCUCAAAGGAUGCUCCGCUACGUAGGCGUCCACGUAAGCGGGUGUAAAGAAGAAGGGAGUGGGGGAUGAGCCUCAUAUAUAUAUGUAUGUAUGUUGUAUGUAUAUGUGUGCAUGUAUAAAGAAGAAGGGAGAGAGAAGAGGCACGGCAAGAACGGGGAUCAGGCGACGUUGAGGACGGGGACGGCCCUAGGGGGUGGUGUGCCGGGGCGUCGCCGGCCCUAGGCCGCUCCCCACACCGAACAGUCAGAGACAAUGGUAUUGGUGUGGAGUAUGAAGGAAAAAACAUGAUAUCAACUUGAGAUUUAAGGCGUACUUUGAUUCUUUGCCAUAAAUAUUUGAUACAGCUUUGGAAUUGAAGCAAUCAUGGCUUUAGAUCCAAGGAACACUGUUGCUAUAAGAGAUGGUUUAAGCAAAGGAGCACCUGCAAUCAAAAGAUUUUUUUGGACAUCUUAUUGCAGUUGGCGCCAGACUUACGCUACGGAGAUUCCUUUCGGACCCAUAGAUUAUUUGCUGGGUGUGAAUGAGGUGUUCAACCAUAUUUUCAAGGGGUGCGGUCGGGUUUUUUUUUCAAUCUUCUUAUAUAAUUUUAAGAACGGGUCAGAUGUGUGCAGGUGGCGGGAAGAUAACAACGGUGUCUUUACGGUAGCGUCAGUUAAAAAAUGAUUACAUAACCCUGACCCGGUUCAGAGUAAUAAAAUUCUGGAAUUGAGCUGGUGGGUUCCGCUGAAGAUAAAAUACAUUUGGAUGGAGAACUAUUCUUUGUCGCCUCCCCACCUCAGACGCCUUGAUCUGUAUACUUGAUAUAUAAAGAUAUGCAUUUGUUUUUGGUUUUACAGUUACGUUGAUAUUAAUUUACAACUAGGUAGACUAACUAUAUUUCAGUUGGGACUGGAGAGGAGAGGAGCCACAGGAUGGGGCGGGGUCGAACAUGGACAGCUUGAAGUCUGCAAACUCCUUAUAUAAUUUUAAGAACGGGUCAGAUGUGUGCAGGUGACGGGAAGAUAACAACGGUGUCUUUACGGUAGCGUCAGUUAAAAAAAAUGCUUACAUAACCCUGACCCGGUUCAGAGUAAUAAAAUUCUGGAAUGGAGCUCGUGGGUUCCGCAACCCGCUGAAGAUAAAUACAUUUGGAUGGAGAACUAUUCUUUGUUGCCUCCCCACCUCAGACGCCUUGAUAAAAAGAAAGAUUAUUCAUGGGCCUUUAGCUUGUUAUUUGUGUUGGUCGGAAGAGGAAACCGUGGAUCACCUAUUCACGGGUUGUUUGCUUGCGACUUUAGUGUGGCAGGAGGUCUCCAGAUGGUGUAACAUACCCCAAAUAUACGCCUUCUCGACAAGCGAUCUGCUGCAAGUUCAAAAGUACAUUCCGGGGAGCGAGA